AAGGAAAAAGGAAAGAAAAACAAAAGAAAAAAAAAACAAGGAACCCUAGCAACCCAUUUCCUCUCCAAUCGUGAGCCACCGCCCACGCUUCUUCUUCCUCCCGUCGCCAGUCACGAGCUCUCCUACCCGACGACCGGCGCAACCCCCUUCUCCAACGACAAUAGCAGACCGUGCGACGCGGUUUGUGGCAGCGGCGGCGACAUUCGUGGCGGUAGCAGCGACGCGGGGUGUUUUCCGGCGGCGCAACAUCCUUGUUUGGCUUUCGUGGAGGUCGGCGACCUCGGUUGCAGCUUCUACAUGCCUCACAGCAGCGUCAAUAUCAGUAGUUGGGUUCUCUUCGUCGCGAAAACGUUUGCAGCAACUUGUCUUGCAGCAUUAGCACCUACUCUUGAUCGUUUGAAAUCCGAUUGAGGCAAAUCCACACCCAGUCGAACUUAACCCGAGUUACCCACAUCUAAUCGAGGUAUUAAGUCGACGUGAGGUUAGGAAUGUAGCAGUGAGUAAGUAGUACCAAGGCGUGUGCGUGCGUUGAUGUGUGCUGAUGGAUGUUGUUCCCUCUGUUUUCUUUGUUAUGAAUUCGUUUCUUUUGCUAUUUAAUUGUUGAACACAGUUGUGAGGACGAUCUGCCAUGGAAUCUUGCCGUUCUUAUUUUUUUGUGUUUAUUUGGGAUAUGUACAUAGCCUGUAUCCAUGACUGCUGUUUGUAACCAUGGGAACUUGCUGAUUGUGGUUGGAAGUAUUUAAGUUGAGUUAAAUACGGUUUAUUUGGAA